UGCAGCCUGACACCCCACUGGCCCCCAGUCUCCCACGGUUGCCUCCCCUAGGCGUGGCACAGGGCCUGGCCUCACUAUGGCAGCAGCACUGCACAGCAUGCUCGACUUGGUGCUCAGCGCCAGAGCUGAUGGCGAGAUCAUUCUAAAAGGCCCCCAGUCCAUUCUCCAGGAGCAAGGGAUGGCGGAGUCGGUGCAUACUUGGCAGGACCACGGCCAUUUAGCAACCUACAUAAACAAAAACGGCAGCUUUACCAAUUUGAGAAUUUACCCGCAUGGAUUGGUGUUACUGGACCUUCAGAGUUACGACAGUGAUGCACGGAGCCAGGAAGAAAUUGGCAGUCUUUUGAACAAAGUUGAAGAAAAAGAAUGAAAGAAUUGAACCAGGACAGCACCGGGCGGGUGAAGCAAUGACCACCCAUGGUUUGAGGAGGGGCCGUCGACAGACACUGGCCCACCGCCGAUGGGCACCUGGUUGAAUACAACAUAGAUGAAGUGGUGUAUGAUGAAGAUUCACCUUAUUAGAACAUUAGAAUUCUACAUUCGAAGCAAUUUGGAAAUAUUCUCAUCCUUAGUGGGGAUGUUAAUUUGGCAGAGAGGGACUUGGCGUCUGCCUGGGCCAUCAUGAGCACUGGCAAAGAUGCACUGAUUCUGGAAGGUGGAGAUGGGGACAUAAUAUGUGAAAUAGUCAAACUGAAACCAAAGAUGGUCACUAUGGUAGAGAUUUACCAAAGGGUGAUUGAUGGGUAUAAGAAAUAUAUGUGAAAAACGUGCGGUGAUGUCUUAGACAACCCUAAAGGAGACUGCUGUCAGGCAGGUUCUAAUAGAAGACUGUGUUCCAGCACUGAAGAGGUAGCCAAAGAAGGGAGGGAGUUUGAUUAUGUGAUUAAUGAUUUGAUGGCUGUUCCAAUCUCCACGUCUCCAGAAAAAGAUUCCACAUGGGAGUUUCUCACACUGAUUUUUGACCUCUCAAUGAAAGUAUGGAAACAGAAUGGGAAACAUUUCACACAGGGGAACUGUGUCAAUCUGACAGAAGCCCUGUCACUCUAUGAAGAACAGCUUGGGUGCCUGUAUUGUCCUGUGGAAUUCCCUAAGGAAAUAAUUUGUGUCCCUUCAUACUUGGAAUUGUGGGUAUUUUACACUGUGUGAAAGAAAGCUAAGCCUUGAAGGUGAAUAUCCCCAAUCAUGUGUGAUGCUAAUCACCUUCCUGACCUCCACAUGCUGUACAUGACAUCAAAAUGAGUCAGGCAAUUAAUUGCGAAUUUCUUAAAGUUUUCUUUAGUUGUUAUUUUUAAUUUAAAAAAGCAAAUGGAAAAUGUAUAUUUUGAUGAACUAGGGUGUUAUUUUUGUUGAAAGUCAGCUGAAGGACAGUUAGACAGCACAGAGAAGACUGCUAAAUGCACUGACCCUGUAGAAUGUGAUUUUUGUUUUUAUUUCUGUGUGGGCUUUUUUUGUUUGUUUUGGUAGACCUUCAAUUUGGAUGUUUGGAGGAAUGACUAUCAUUGGUUUGUCCUGGAGGGAAGUUCUUGAUGGUAUUUCUUUCCCCCCAAAUUGCCUUAGAUGUUAAAAUUUGGUGCUUAUAAGAAUUUAAAAAAAUGAAUAGUAAUGCUUCAGUUAAAAUCACAAAAGAGA